GUAGAUUUUUGAAUAGCUUUCACAAUAAUUUGGAAUGUAGAUAAUCGAAAAAUUUUGUUAUUUUUAUACGCUUAUUUUUUAUUGCAUAAAAUUUAAAUUUGGAUUAUUUUGAAACCAGUAUUUGGUUUAUUCGAUAAACGUGUAACUUAAAAACGAAAAGUCGAAAAAAGAAAAAAAAAAAGCUGAAAAGUUUUCCAUGCAUUCGAAUCACAACAUCAGCGGGAAAAACCAUCGAGAAGGCCCAAGCGAUAACGGCACGGAUACGGAUGGUGGAACCAACUUAGCAUGUUUUUCGGGGUCCAGGCCAGCAGCUUUAAAGAUGCUUCGACCCAAAGCGUGCCGCCUACCCUUUCAGCGAUGCAUACGAGAUGGAGUCGGUCGAGUCAUAGCAGGCUCCCGGUUGGCGUUCUUAGCCUAGGUGUUGGCCGUCGAGCUUCGGCUCUACCAGGGCGUAGCUAUAUAUACCGUCCGUCAGUACUUGGUCCAUAAAGCAACUGGCUCUAACAAUUGUGAUAAAAUUUAGUUAUUUGUAAGAUUGUGGAAAAAAACAAUUAAAAUCUUCAAAAA